rnacentral:tRNA from 1 species
ACCUGGGAAGCAAAUAAUUGCAUCAAGUUUCGGCCUUGAACUAGGUAUUACAUCGUACCCCCAGUUA